GUUAGACCGCACAGGCUAAAUUAAUUCUGACUGGCUAAUUUAAAGAGAAUGACCGGUCAACUGAAGAACACAUCCAAAGGAAUUCACUGGAUUUAACCCAACUAAAGGAUCAGAGACCAUGGAGCCUCCUGUACUCAAGAGAUAGCUGCUGCUGAAGACCUGGCCCCAGGUGAAUAACAUAGGCAAAGGAACAACAAAGCCAGAAUGGGGAAGAGUGAGCAGAGCAUCCAGAAAUGGCGGUUGCCAGCAAAAUAGAACUGCUGAAAAAGGGCAUGGCAACUUGAACAGAAAAAGUAAUUAGUGCAAUUGAGGAGCUUCAAUUACAGCGUUAAACUGGAACUCAAGAACAUGAUUUUUUA
rnacentral:lncRNA from 1 species